UACAGAGGUCCCGAGCGUUGUUCGGAUUCACUGGGCGUAAAGGGCGCGUAGGCGGUCGUGACAAGUCACUUGUGAAAUCUCCGGGCUUAACUCGGAACGGUCAAGUGAUACUGUCGGACUAGAGUACAGAAGGGGCAACUGGAAUUCUCGGUGUAGCGGUGAAAUGCGUAGAUAUCGAGAGGAACACCUGCGGCGAAGGCGGGUUGCUGGGCUGAUACUGACGCUGAGGCGCGAAAGCCCAGGGGAGCGAACGGG
rnacentral:rRNA from 1 species